rnacentral:rRNA from 1 species
AGAGUUUGAUCCUGGCUCAGAUUGAACGCUGGCGGCAUGCCUUACACAUGCAAGUCGAGCGGCAGCGCGGGGGCAACCCUGGCGGCGAGCGGCGCACGGGUGAGUAAUGCAUCGGAACGUGUCCUCUUGUGGGGGAUAACCAGUCGAAAGACUGGCUAAUACCGCAUGAGAUCGAGAGAUGAAAGCAGGGGACCCGCAAGGGCCUUGCGCGAGAGGAGCGGCCGAUGCCCGAUUAGCUAGUUGGUGGGGUAAUGGCCCACCAAGGCGACGAUCGGUAGCUGGUUUGAGAGAACGACCAGCCACACUGGGACUGAGACACGGCCCAGACUCCUACGGGAGGCAGCAGUGGGGAAUUUUGGACAAUGGGGGCAACCCUGAUCCAGCCAUGCCGCGUGUGUGAAGAAGGCCUUCGGGUUGUAAAGCACUUUCGGCCGGAACGAAAUCGCACUGGUGAAUAUCCAGUGUGGAUGACGGUACCGGAAGAAGAAGCACCGGCUAACUACGUGCCAGCAGCCGCGGUAAUACGUAGGGUGCGAGCGUUAAUCGGAAUUACUGGGCGUAAAGUGUGCGCAGGCGGUCUCGCAAGUCAAGUGUGAAAGCCCCGGGCUUAACCUGGGAACUGCGCUUGAAACUACGAGACUCGAGUGUGGCAGAGGAAGGUGGAAUUCCACGUGUAGCGGUGAAAUGCGUAGAGAUAUGGAGGAACACCGAUGGCGAAGGCAGCCUUCUGGGCCAACACUGACGCUCAUGCACGAAAGCGUGGGGAGCAAACAGGAUUAGAUACCCUAGUAGUCC